rnacentral:rRNA from 1 species
GAUCCUGGCUCAGGAUGAACGCUAGCUACAGGCUUAACACAUGCAAGUCGAGGGGCAUCAGUUUGGUUUGCUUGCAAACCAAAGCUGGCGACCGGCGCACGGGUGAGUAACACGUAUCCAACCUGCCUCAUACUCGGGGAUAGCCUUUCGAAAGAAAGAUUAAUAUCCGAUAGCAUAUAUUUCCCGCAUGGGUUUUAUAUUAAAGAAAUUCGGUAUAGAGAUGGGGAUGCGGUUCCCAUUAGUUUGUUGGGGGGGG